GACGAACGCUGGCGGCGUGCUUAACACAUGCAAGUCGAACGGAAAGGCCCUGCUUUUGUGGGGUGCUCGAGUGGCGAACGGGUGAGUAACACGUGAGUAACCUGCCCUUGACUUUGGGAUAACUUCAGGAAACUGGGGCUAAUACCGGAUAGGAGCUCCUGCUGCAUGGUGGGGGUUGGAAAGUUUCGGCGGUUGGGGAUGGACUCGCGGCUUAUCAGCUUGUUGGUGGGGUAGUGGCUUACCAAGGCUUUGACGGGUAGCCGGCCUGAGAGGGUGACCGGCCACAUUGGGACUGAGGUACGGCCCAGACUCCUACGGGAGGGAGCAGUGGGGAAUAUUGCACAAUGGGCGGAAGCCUGAUGCAGCAACGCCGCGUGCGGGAUGACGGCCUUCGGGUUGUAAACCGCUUUCGCCUGUGACGAAGCGUGAGUGACGGUAAUGGGUAAAGAAGCACCGGCUAACUACGUG
rnacentral:rRNA from 1 species